UAUGAACGCUGGCGGCGUGCCUAAUACAUGCAAGUCGAGCGAACAGACGAGGAGCUUGCUCCUUCGACGUUAGCGGCGGACGGGUGAGUAACACGUAGGUAACCUACCUAUAAGACUGGGAUAACUUCGGGAAACCGGAGCUAAUACCGGAUAAUAUUUCGAACCGCAUGGUUCGAUAGUGAAAGAUGGCUUUGCUAUCACUUAUAGAUGGACCUGCGCCGUAUUAGCUAGUUGGUAAGGUAACGGCUUACCAAGGCAACGAUACGUAGCCGACCUGAGAGGGUGAUCGGCCACACUGGAACUGAGACACGGUCCAGACUCCUACGGGAGGCAGCAGUAGGGAAUAUUCCGCAAUGGGCGAAAGCCUGACGGAGCAACGCCGCGUGAGUGAUGAAGGUCUUCGGAUCGUAAAACUCUGUUAUUAGGGAAGAACAAACGUGUAAGUAACUGUGCACGUCUUGACGGUACCUAAUCAGAAAGCCACGGCUAACUACGUG
rnacentral:rRNA from 1 species